rnacentral:rRNA from 2 species
UACGGAGGGGGCUAGCGUUGUUCGGAAUUACUGGGCGUAAAGCGCGCGUAGGCGGCUUUGUAAGUUAGAGGUGAAAGCCCGAAGCUCAACUUCGGAAUUGCCUUUAAGACUGCAUCGCUAGAAUCAUGGAGAGGUUAGUGGAAUUCCGAGUGUAGAGGUGAAAUUCGUAGAUAUUCGGAAGAACACCAGUGGCGAAGGCGACUAACUGGACAUGUAUUGACGCUGAGGUGCGAAAGCGUGGGGAGCAAACAGG